rnacentral:rRNA from 1 species
GACGAACGCUGGCGGCGUGCUUAACACAUGCAAGUCGAACGAUGAUGCCCAGCUUGCUGGGUGGAUUAGUGGCGAACGGGUGAGUAACACGUGAGUAACCUGCCCCUGACUCUGGGAUAAGCGUUGGAAACGACGUCUAAUACUGGAUAUGACUGCCGGCCGCAUGGUCUGGUGGUGGAAAGAUUUUUUGGUUGGGGAUGGACUCGCGGCCUAUCAGCUUGUUGGUGAGGUAAUGGCUCACCAAGGCGACGACGGGUAGCCGGCCUGAGAGGGUGACCGGCCACACUGGGACUGGGACACGGCCCAGACUCCGACGGGGGGCAGCAGUGGGGAAUAUUGCACAAUGGGCGAAAGCCUGAUGCAGCAACGCCGCGUGAGGGAUGACGGCCUUCGGGUUGUAAACCUCUUUUAGUAGGGAAGAAGCGAAAGUGACGGUACCUGCAGAAAAAGCACCGGCUAACUACGUGCCAGCCGCCGCCGUAA